AGAGUUUGAUCCUGGCUCAGGACGAACGCUGGCGGCGUGCUUAACACAUGCAAGUCGAACGCUGAAGCCUGGUGCUUGCACCGGGUGGAUGAGUGGCGAACGGGUGAGUAAUACGUGAGUGACCUGCCUUUGACUCUGGGAUAAAGCCUGGGAAACUGGGUCUAAUACCGGAUGCGACUACUGCCCGCAUGGGCUGGUGGUGGAAAGGGUUAUGUACUGGUCUUAGAUGGGCUCACGGCCUAUAAGCUGGUUGGUGGGGUAAUGGCCUACCAAGGCGACGACGGGUAGCCGGCCUGAGAGGGUGACCGGCCACACUGGGACUGAGACACGGCCCAGACUCCUACGGGAGGCAGCAGUGGGGAAUAUUGCACAAUGGGCGCAAGCCUGAUGCAGCGACGCCGCGUGAGGGAUGACGGCCUUCGGGUUGUAAACCUCUUUCAGCAGGGAAGAAGCGGAAGUGACGGUACCUGCAGAAGAAGCGCCGGCUAACUACGUGCCAGCAGCCGCGGUAAUACGUAGGGCGCAAGCGUUGUCCGGAAUUAUUGGGCGUAAAGAGCUCGUAGGCGGCUUGUCGCGUCUGCUGUGAAAGCCCGGGGCUUAACUCCGGGUGUGCAGUGGGUACGGGCAGGCUAGAGUGCAGUAGGGGUAACUGGAAUUCCUGGUGUAGCGGUGAAAUGCGCAGAUAUCAGGAGGAACACCGAUGGCGAAGGCAGGUUACUGGGCUGUUACUGACGCUGAGGAGCGAAAGCAUGGGGAGCGAACAGGAUUAGAUACCCUGGUAGUCCAUGCCGUAAACGUUGGGCACUAGGUGUGGGGGACAUUCCACGUUUUCCGCGCCGUAGCUAACGCAUUAAGUGCCCCGCCUGGGGAGUACGGCCGCAAGGCUAAAACUCAAAUGAAUUGACGGAAUCG
rnacentral:rRNA from 1 species